UCUUCUGAAGUCAGUAAAAUGAGUAAACCCAGAUUGUUGGGGGCAAUGUGCUGACAUUGUAAACCACUCAUAGAGUGUUCUAAAACACUAUGGAGCAUUAUAUGGUAUAGCAUAAGACAACUUGAAAUCACAUGGUUAGACAGAAGCUGAAAACACCCUGGAGGGGCGCCUGGAGGAUCCAGCAUCUUGUUCAAGACAAUCCAUCUUUUGUUCUCAGAGUAUGCCUUCACAGCCAAAUUCUCUUGGCCUUUGGAAAGCCAGAUGGGUCAGGGCUGGGAAGAUUGGUUGAACGGAUCCGAGUUUAUUAACAGACUGCAGUAUGUAAGGUUGGAUUGAAUUCAGCUUCAGUUAAUGUGGACCAUCUUGUUCUGUGGUUGUAUUAGAAGAAACCGAGUUUAAAAGACCAGCAGUUCUAAUACAAAAUAAAAAUCAGUGCAUGCA